rnacentral:RNase_P_RNA from 1 species
CGGGUCGGCCAGACGGUCGCGUCGCAUCCCGCGAGGGGUGCGCCGAGGAACGUCCGGGCUCCACAGAGCAGGGCGGUGGGUAACACCCACCCGGAGCAAUCCGCGAGAAAGUGCAACAGAGAGCAGACCGCCUCGGGAUCCGUCCCGAGGUAAGGGUGAAACGGUGGUGUAAGAGACCACCAGGGGCCCGAGUGAUCGGGCUCGCUGGGUAAACCUCGCCCGGAGCAAGGUCAGACAGACACCGAUGAGGCUGCUCGCCGAGGUGUCGGGUAGACCGCUGGAGGGGUACGGCGACGUGCCCCCGAGAGAGAUGGCCGUCCGAUCGGGGCCGCAAGGCACCGACCGACAGAACCCGGCGUAUCGGCCGGCCCGUUCG